rnacentral:miRNA from 1 species
GGUGGGAGGGUCGCUUGAGCCCAGGAGUUUGAGGCUGCAGUGAGCUGUGAUCGCACCACUGCACUCCAGCCUGAGUGACAGAGCAAGACCCUGU